UACGUAGGGUGCGAGCGUUAAUCGGAAUUACUGGGCGUAAAGCGUGCGCAGGCGGUGAUGUAAGACAGAUGUGAAAUCCCCGGGCUCAACCUGGGAACUGCAUUUGUGACUGCAUCGCUGGAGUGCGGCAGAGGGGGAUGGAAUUCCGCGUGUAGCAGUGAAAUGCGUAGAUAUGCGGAGGAACACCGAUGGCGAAGGCAAUCCCCUGGGACGGCACUGACGCUCAGGCACGAAAGCGUGGGGAGCAAACAGG
rnacentral:rRNA from 1 species